UGGGGACGACGUCAAAUCAUCAUGCCCUUUAUGUCCUGGGCUACACACGUACUACAAUGGCCGUUACAACGGGAAGCGAAGGAGCAAUCCGGAGCAAAUCCCUUAAAGCGGUCCCAGUUCAGAUUGUGGGCUGAAACUCGCCCACAUGAAAGGCGGAAUUGCUAGUAAUUGCAGAUCAGCAUGCUGCAGUGAAUUACCGGUUCCCGGGCCUU
rnacentral:rRNA from 1 species